UUUCGCUCUUCCUAGGACUCCACCAGCAACGACAUUAUCAAAGGGUCAAGGAGCAGCAAUUUGAUAUGCAUCCGUGACAAUGAAGUUUUCUCCACGGCGCGGAAUCGAUGCUGGCGACCCCGCCGUUUCCACACCACCCCGAGCCCAUCUACAGGAGAAGCACAACAGGAAGGGAUAUAGAGCGACAAAUCCUAUUUUACUGUCCCCGUUUCCCGGUUUCCACAUCGCGGCGACUCGAUCCGCUGCUCUCGGGCACGGCACUCUUGAAUGAGUCAGAUUUAUCGAGGGACAAGACUGGCAAGCGCUCCUACGUGUCGAUCUUCGACCGAGGUAGAGCGCUGGUAGCAACCACAUCAUGAAAGGGUUGACGAACGACGAUCCGAUAUGCGUCGCUCACAGCGAAGGUGCAUAUACAGAGAUGAUGAUAUGCCAUAUAUCUCACAAGUUGUUUGCAUUAGGACUGUGCGAAGUGGCGCCUAUGAAAUUUAUCGACCAGGAAGUUGAAUGAAGCCACCUAUUAGUAUGCUUAGUAGCUAUGGCUCGGUACCUCUCCUUUAUAUCUUCAUGUUCUCAUUACUUCCUCUCCUAUUAUCGUGCUUUUGGUAUCGAACUUCAUGUCGAGUGGCUGCACUUUUGGUUUUGAUCUUAAUGACGAAUGGCUAUGUUUUGUGAUCUUACAAACGCACUAAAAUCGAUUAUGACUUAUAGUCUCGUGUUGA